UACGGGGGGGGCAAGCGUUGUUCGGAAUUACUGGGCGUAAAGGGCUCGUAGGCGGCCAACUAAGUCGGAUGUGAAAUCCCCAGGCUUAACCUGGGAACUGCAUCCGAUACUGGAUGGCUUGAAUCCGGGAGAGGGAUGCAGAAUUCCAGGUGUAGCGGUGAAAUGCGCAGAUAUCAGGAAGAACACCCGUGGCGAAGGCGGCUCUCUGGAACGCAACUGACGCUGAGACGCGAAAGCGUGGGGAGCAAACAGG
rnacentral:rRNA from 1 species